UAAUCAGAUUACAGUCAACAAUGGUAACAACUUUGAUAAGGCGCUCAUAGAGUUUUACAUGAAAAAUAAAGCUAGGAAGCUAAAACGUAAAAUCAUGGCAACAAAAUCACGUGAUCCAUCUACUCCCUAUCACCAGCCUAAGAAGGCUAGGAUAGAACAUGCAGAGACCACAG